rnacentral:rRNA from 1 species
UACGUAGGGUGCAAGCGUUGUCCGGAAUUAUUGGGCGUAAAGAGCUUGUAGGCGGUUUGUCGCGUCUGCUGUGAAAUUUCGGGGCUCAACCCCGAACUUGCAGUGGGUACGGGCAGACUAGAGUGUGGCAGGGGAGACUGGAAUUCCUGGUGUAGCGGUGAAAUGCGCAGAUAUCAGGAGGAACACCGAUGGCGAAGGCGGCAUUCUGGACCAUAACUGACACUGAGAGACGAAAGCCAGGGGAGCAAACGGG